ACGAGGAAUUUUUGCUAAGUAGAAGCUAGAUUGCAGUGUCCCAUACAAAAACCUGUAGCAUGAUGUAUUGUUCCUCAGUUCCUCUGUUAUUAUAUUAUAUAUAUAUAUAUUAUCCCAUGUUAAUGAGUACUUCUUCCUGAUACGAGUUCUGAGUAGGCUGGAUUCGAGUAGCUGUUUGUUCUUCUCUGCAGCAAUCAAACCUACUGCAAUCUGUAUGUUGAUAUCAAUUAGAUGCCAGAUUGGGAGAAGAGUAGAGUUCUGUAGAUAUGAAAGUCUAUGGCUUCGAUUAUACUAUUUCCUUGUUCGAAACGUGCUUGCAGGGUAAUGUGGAGAUUCGGUUUCCUGAGUGAUAGACAUUAUCACGCAUUCCUUAUAGACAUAUGCGUUACCUCUAUAGCACAAAGAUCCAAACUUUGGACAUUGGGAUUUGGGAUUAGUUUGUGGCAGAACAGAGUUACAAAGCCUAGGAGCAGAGCGAUUCCUUUAAGAGGAAUCUUUCUUGUUAGAUCCCUUCGAAAUUGACGUUGCUCAGUUUGUUUUAUUCGUUUGGUUUCAUGUGUCCUGCUAAUUUGCAGACGGUGGAUGCUAAGGCCUAAGCAGGCCGUUUUGGGAACUAAUUGUCGGCAAAAACAGAGACCUUGUGUGCCUUAUCCAUUACCACCACCAAAUCUCUUUUUAAAUCUGACGUGUCCUUAUCCACAUGGCGUAAACAAGAUACCACACGGAUCAUAUAUCUUGCAACAAAGCUUCGACUUCUCCGCAUCUCCCCUUCAAUUUUCAAAAGAUGGCAACUUUUUCUGCUAUGCAAACUUUCUGCGCAGGAAAUUCACCUCACAGAGUUGAUCAUCUUCGAGGAUGCAGCAGCUCUUCCGUAACACCAACUUGGAGUUCAAGCUCCAAGAAGAAGAAGAGCAUGAGAUCAUCAUUGACU
rnacentral:lncRNA from 1 species